CGAGUCGAGCGUUUCUAGCUAUGUAGAGACGCGGCAGACGGCUCAGUAACACGUGGCUAACCUACCCUCAGGACGAGGACAACCCCGGGAAACUGGGACUAAUACUCGAUAGGCGAGGAUGCCUGGAAUGGCUUCUCACCUAAAGGCCUUGGAGACAUGCUUCCAAGUCGCCUGAGGAUGGGGCCGCGUCCGAUCAGGUUGUUGGUGAGGUAAUGGCUCACCAAGCCUAUAACCGGUACGGGCCGUGAGAGCGGUAGCCCGGAGAUGGGUACUGAGACAAGGACCCAGGCCCUACGGGGCGCAGCAGUCGCGAAAACUCCGCAAUGCACGCAAGUGUGACGGGGCUACCCCGAGUGCCAACCGCUGAGGAUGGCUUUUCCUUGGUAUAACUAGCCAGGGGAAUAAGGAGAGGGCAAGACUGGUGUCAGCCGCCGCGGUAAUACCAGCUCUCCGAGUGGUAGGGAUGAUUAUUGGGCUUAAAGCGUCCGUAGCCGGCUUAGCAAGUUUCCUGUUAAACCCAGCGACUCAAUCGUUGGAUCGCGGGAAAUACUACUAGGCUAGGAGGCGGGAGAGGUCAACGGUACUUCUGGGGUAGGGGUGAAAUCCUAUAAUCCCGGGAGGACCACCAGUGGCGAAGGCUGUUGACUAGAACGCGCUCGACGGUGAGGGACGAAAGCUGGGGGAGCGAACCGGAUUAGAUACCCGGGUAGUCCCAGCCGUAAACGAUGCGAGCUAGGUGUUGGGAUGGCUACGUGCCACUUCAGUGCCGCAGGGAAGCCAUUAAGCUCGCCGCCUGGGGAGUACGGCCGCAAGGCUGAAACUUAAAGGAAUUGGCGGGA
rnacentral:rRNA from 1 species